AACGAACGCUGGCGGCAUGCCUAACACAUGCAAGUCGAACGAGACCUUCGGGUCUAGUGGCGCACGGGUGCGUAACGCGGGGGAACCUGCCCUUAGGUUCGGAAUAACUCCCCGAAAGGGGUGCUAAUACCGGAUAAUGUCUUCGGACCAAAGAUUUAUCGCCUUUGGAUGGGCCCGCGUUGGAUUAGCUAGUUGGUAGGGUAAAAGCCUACCAAGGCGACGAUCCAUAGCUGGUCUGAGAGGAUGCUCAGCCACACUGGGACUGAGACACGGCCCAGACUCCUACGGGAGGCAGCAGUGGGGAAUAUUGGACAAUGGGCGAAAGCCUGAUCCAGCAAUGCCGCGUGAGUGAUGAAGGCCUUAGGGUUGUAAAGCUCUUUUACCCGGGAUGAUAAUGACAGUACCGGGAGAAUAAGCUCCGGCUAACUCCGUG
rnacentral:rRNA from 1 species